rnacentral:lncRNA from 10 species
GCAUUGAGUUUUGGUGUCCUGAAAGACUUUUGCCAACCUUGUCCCCGCACUAAUUUCUCUAAGCCUCGGCUAUACUAUUUUCUCAGCUACACGAUGAAAUGUGAAUGAUAAUUUCUGCCCUAAAAAUAUCACUUAAUUUUUUAACAUAUCAUUUAUGAAAGAAGACACAUAAAAUGUCUCCCUAAAAUGGAAAGUUACAUAUUAUUGCCAUCUGUGUUUUAUAAAGAGGUUGAAAGGGGUUUGCUUGCACAAGGUUUGUUUCUUUAUGUGUGUUUUUUUUUUAAGAGAACUAAACCCAUCAGGGCUAACCACAAUAAGUUUGCUUCCAUGUUUUGAUUAAAAAAAAGGGGGUACUGAAGAACUCUCUGACCCCCAAAUCUCUCCCACACUGCAUCUUGACCCUCUACACUUUCCUUUGUUUUUCUCUGGAAUUUCACGUGUAGAGAUAUGUUUCUUUGGCUUAACAAGUAUUGAUUAGUACCGUGGGCAUAUAGUUUAUUGUACCUAAGAGGACAUUGUCACAAGUGAAAUAGCAUACUCUUAAUAAUCACUGAAAUAGCGUGGUGUUAAUAAUUACAUGUUGUUAAUAAUUAACAGCAUGUGUCAGCUAGGACAGUGCCAAGCAACCAUUAUUCACUGUGAGUUUAAAUUGAUUGCUUUCUCAAAUUAAAAGAGAUUUCUCACACUUAAGAAAAAUAGAAAGAAUUAUGGAAGGGAGGGAAGAUAAAUGAAGAAAAAGUUAAUUUUUCAACAAGUUCAGGCUCUUGCAGAAGACCUUGAGCAGCAUGGG